UAGGGAUUGAUGGCUAUGAAGACAUACAUAGGAACUUACAAAGAGGUUCAGGCCUCACAUCCUUAUGGUUUUGGCUCAAAUUGCUUACACUUUUUUAUACUUCAUAACUUAAGCUUCCUUCAGUUCUUGAGCCGAGGGUCUAUGGAAACGGCCUGUCUACCUUCAUAUGGUAGAGGUAAGGUCUGCAUACACAUUACCCUUCCCAGACUUCGACUGGGUUUGUUGUUGUUGUUAUUAACGGAAGCUUCCUUCAAUCAUGGAUCAUGGAAUGAAUCAUCAUGUCUACAUAACUUAUCGGUCUAUUGUAGCUGGUUUUGCCAUUCUACCCUUUGCCUAUUUUCUUGAAAGGUAUAUCCAAGGUCAUCUCCAACCCAAAUAACAUGCAGACAAUUGUUUCAUUUCUUCAUUAAUGUAGGAAUGCAGGUGCUCUUAGCUUUACAAGGAGGCAAGACGGGACCGGUGUCGGGGCAGGAGAGAACUAGGAUGAAAUGCAGCAACCAUUUUCUGAUGCUUCGGUUGCUUUCUGCAGAAAGACAAGGCCAAAACUAACUAGCUUUGGUGUUGCAGAUAUUUGUACUCUCUCUACUGGGGCUUACACUUUGAGAAGAUAUCCGGCACAACUAUCACUGACUGCAUGGAUGAGUUUUGUCGGUGCAGCACAAUCAGCUUUCUACACAACAAUAACAACCCAGUAAAUCCCACAAGUCGGGUCUAAGGGGGUACUGUGUACGUAGACAUUACCCCUACUCCGGAGGAGUAAAGAGGCUGUUUCCGAUGGACCCCCGGCUCAAGAAGACGAAAAGAGACUAGAUCUAUGUUGCUCGGACUCUCCGAAAAUGUGGCAAGAUACGUGUCGGAUCCUCCAAAAGUAGUGCACUUUUGAAGCCGCUACAUUUUGGAGAGCGCGCAACAUAACAAUAGUUCAGUAACAGUAACAGAAGCCAGAAAGAUAAUACCAGCAUCAUAGGAACCAAAAUAUCAGUUUUCUACUCAGUAAUCCUAUAACACAAAAGAACAGCUUGGACCAUGGGUUUCAACAUUGAUUUCUGGUCUACCAUGUAUGGGGGAAUAGUGGUCUCGGGUUUAGUAGUCUACAUACAACACUGGUGCACUGAGCAAAAGGGACCUGUUUUCGCAACGGUGUUCAACCCACUCUCAAGUCUCAACCAUACAAGUUGCAGUUCUAGCAUAUUUCGUCCUUGGUGAAAAGCUCUACACAGGCAGGUAAGCAACCUUUUCAUCAUAUCCUUCAAACUUAUGGAUAGAUACUAUAUAUUGACUCCCCUCCCUUGGCUUCUUCAUAGUUUUACUUCUAUAUAUUUUGACACCCCCUAGUGAAAAUUCUGGUUCCGCCACUGGUCUCUGCCCUUUAUCUGGUGAGAAACAACAUGACUUCCAUACCUAAUCUCACGUAUGCUCACCUCCAACGGAAGACAUGAUUUUCUUUUUCUUUUCUUAGUUUGGGAUGUUCAAUUAGUUAUGUAAGAUGUGGCAUAUUAAAAUAGCAGCCAGUUCAUUCA